rnacentral:tRNA from 1 species
CCCAAAAAUGUUGGUUAAUUUCCCUCUUUUACUA